rnacentral:rRNA from 1 species
AACUUUCAACAAUGGAUCUCUUGGCUCUGGCAUCGAUGAAGAACGCAGCGAAAUGCGAUAAGUAGUGUGAAUUGCAGAAUUCAGUGAAUCAUCGAAUCUUUGAACGCACAUUGCGCCCUUGGUAUUCCAUGGGGCAUGCCUGUUCGAGCGUCAUCU